rnacentral:rRNA from 1 species
GCUGGCGGCGUGCCUAAUACAUAGCAAGUCGAGCGAGCGGAACCAACAGAUUUACUUCGGUAAUGACGUUGGGAAAGCGAGCGGCGGAUGGGUGAGUAACACGUGGGGAACCUGCCCCUAAGUCUGGGAUACCAUUUGGAAACAGGUGCUAAUACCGGAUAAUAAAGCAGAUCGCAUGAUCAGCUUUUGAAAGGCGGCGUAAGCUGUCGCUAAGGGAUGGCCCCGCGGUGCAUUAGCUAGUUGGUAAGGUAACGGCUUACCAAGGCGACGAUGCAUAGCCGAGUUGAGAGACUGAUCGGCCACAUUGGGACUGAGACACGGCCCAAACUCCUACGGGAGGCAGCAGUAGGGAAUCUUCCACAAUGGACGCAAGUCUGAUGGAGCAACGCCGCGUGAGUGAAGAAGGUUUUCGGAUCGUAAAGCUCUGUUGUUGGUGAAGAAGAAUAGAGGUAGUAACUGGCCUUUAUUUGACGGUAAUCAACCAGAAAGUCACGGCUAACUACGUG